GGGAAGGCAAGCAAAAUGUGAUGGGAAAAGGAAGAUAAUCCAAGCCUAAAGGGAGAUAAACUAUGUGAGUCACAUAGGCAAACCCACUUCCCAGGUGAAUGUGUACCACCCUCUACAGGUCAUUUCCAUCAACAUGCUCAGUGGGGCCUCUGGGCGUGUCCUAUGAGACGAGGGAGGGCGUGGCUAGGCACCUCCUUCUCAGAAGUGGACUUGGGAGCCUCGUGGCCUGCUGAAGUCACUGCUUUUAAUUGCUCUAUGGCCUCGAGCCAUGACUUGCAGGGGGGUCAUCCCUUAGGUGACAUGAACUUGCUGCGAGCAUUAGAUAACUCUCUCCCUUGGCGUCUUUGCCCUUUAUUCACAGAUAACUCUCUCCCCCUGUUUCUAGGAGAAAAAAAAAGUGCGUUCGCUACAUACAAGGUGAAGGCAGCUGCCUCAGCCCACCCUCUUC
rnacentral:lncRNA from 1 species